rnacentral:ncRNA from 2 species
UAUUCAUCAAGAGUAACAGAGGGACUGGCCCGAUGAAGUUACAGCAACCAUCCAACAGGAAAGGUGCUAAUUCCAGCGUUAUUUUAUAAAUAACGACAGAUGAUCA